rnacentral:rRNA from 1 species
CCUACGGGGGGCUGCAGUAGGGAAUAUUGCUCAAUGGGGGAAACCCUGAAGCAGCAACGCCGCGUGGAGGAUGAAGGUUUUCGGAUUUGAAACUCCUUUUGUUAGAGAAGAUAAUGACGGUAUCUAACGAAUAAGCACCGGCUAACUCCGUGCCAGCAGCCGCGGUAAUACGGAGGGUGCAAGCGUUACUCGGAAUCACUGGGCGUAAAGAGCGCGUAGGCGGGAGAGCAAGUCAGAUGUGAAAUCCUAUGGCUUAACCAUAGAACUGCAUUUGAAACUGUUAUUCUAGAGUAUGGGAGAGGGAGGUGGAAUUCUUGGUGGAGGGGUAAAAUGCGUAGAGAUCAAGAGGAAUACUCAUUGCGAAGGCGACCUGCUAGAACAUAACUGACGCUGAUGCGCGAAAGCGUGGGGAGCAAACAGGAUUAGAUACCCCUGUAGUC